UACAGAGGUCCCAAGCGUUGUUCGGAUUCACUGGGCGUAAAGGGUGCGUAGGUGGUCGGGUAAGUCUGAUGUGAAAUCUCCGAGCUUAACUCGGAAAUGGCAUUGGAUACUAUUCGGCUAGAGGGUUUGAGGGGGGACUGGAAUACUUGGUGUAGCAGUGAAAUGCGUAGAUAUCGAGAGGAACACCUGCGGCGAAGGCGGGUUGCUGGGCCGACACUGACGCUGAUGCGCGAAAGCCAGGGGAGCGAACGGG
rnacentral:rRNA from 1 species